UUUCCGUAGGUGAACCUGCGGAAGGAUCAUUAUCGAGUUUAAACGGAGUGCUUGAUGCUGGCCCGCGAGGGCAUGUGCUCGGCCUCCCUCGUCCACUCAACCCCUGUGCACUAUAGAGGUGCGGUCCUCCGUCAUGGGAGCCGCGCUCCGCUGUAAUGGCGGAGCGUCGGGAGCGCGCCUCGCCCUUUACUAUACACGUUUAAAAAGUCUAGUCGAAUGUAAAUCGUCCUCUGGGCGGAAACGAAAUACAACUUUCAACAACGGAUCUCUUGGCUCUCGCAUCGAUGAAGAACGCAGC
rnacentral:misc_RNA from 1 species